GACGAACGCUGGCGGCGUGCCUAAUACAUGCAAGUCGAACGAGUGGCGGACGGGUGAGUACUGUCUGGGACACUGCCUGAUGGUGGGGGAUAACUACUGGAAGCGGUACCUAAUACCGCAUACCAUCAGAUGUGCCCCGAUGGGCUCGGCGUGGUGGUGGGGUAACGGCUCACCAAGGCGACGAUCCCUAGCUGGUCUGAGAGGAUGACCAGCCACACUGGACUGGAGACACGGUCCAGACUCCUACGGGAGGCAGCAGUGGGGAAGAUUGCAAAAUGGGCGCAAGCCUGAUGCAGCCAUGCCGCGUGUAUGAAGAAGGCCUUCGGGUUGUAAAGCACUUUCAGCGGGGAGGCGUUACCCGCAGAAGAAGCACCGGCUAACUCCGUGCCAGCAGCCGCGGUAAUAC
rnacentral:rRNA from 1 species